rnacentral:rRNA from 1 species
AACGAACGCUGGCGGCAGGCUUAACACAUGCAAGUCGAGCGCCCCGCAAGGGGAGCGGCAGACGGGUGAGUAACGCGUGGGAACCUACCUGAAGGUACGGAACAACUCCGGGAAACUGGAGCUAAUACCGUAUGUGCCCGAAAGGGGAAAGAUUCAUCGCCUUCAGAUGGGCCCGCGUCAGAUUAGCUGGUUGGUGGGGUAAUGGCCCACCAAGGCGACGAUCUGUAGCUGGUCUGAGAGGAUGAUCAGCCACACUGGGACUGAGACACGGCCCAGACUCCUACGGGAGGCAGCGGUGGGGAAUAUUGGACAAUGGGCGCAAGCCUGAUCCAGCCAUGCCGCGUGAGUGAUGACGGCCUUAGGGUUGUAAAGCUCUUUCGACGGGGACGAUAAUGACGGUACCCGUAGAAGAAGCCCCGGCUAACUUCGUGCCAGCAGCCGCGGUAAGAC